UACGUAGGGGGCAAGCGUUGUCCGGAAUCAUUGGGCGUAAAGAGCGUGUAGGCGGCUCGAUAAGUCUGCUGUGAAAGUCCAGGGCUCAACCCUGGAAGGCCGGUGGAAACUGUCGGGCUAGAGUCCGGAAGAGGCGAGUGGAAUUCCCGGUGUAGCGGUGAAAUGCGCAGAUAUCAGGAGGAACACCAACGGCGAAGGCAGCUCGCUGGGACGGUACUGACACUGAGGCGCGAAAGCGUGGGGAGCGAACAGG
rnacentral:rRNA from 1 species